rnacentral:misc_RNA from 1 species
AAAUGCGAUAAGUAGUGUGAAUUGCAGAAUUCAGUGAAUCAUCGAAUCUUUGAACGCACAUUGCGCCCUUUGGUAUUCCAAAGGGCAUGCCUGUUCGAGCGUCAUUUGUACCCUCAAGCUUUGCUUGGUGUUGGGCGUCUUGUCUCUAGCUUUGCUGGAGACUCGCCUUAAAGUAAUUGGCAGCCGGCCUACUGGUUUCGGAGCGCAGCACAAGUCGCACUCUCUAUCAGCAAAGGUCUAGCAUCCAUUAAGCCUUUUUUCAACUUUUGACCUCGGAUCAGGUAGGGAUACCCGCUGAACUUAAGC